ensembl:misc_RNA 7SK 7SK RNA
GAAUUACGUUUAAACUGGCUGCGACAUCUGUCACCCCAUUGAUCGCCAGGGUUGAUUCGGCUGAUCUGGCUGGCUAGGCGGGUGUCCCCCUCCUCCCUCACCGAUCCAUGUGCGUCCCUCCCGAAGCUGCGCGCUCGGUCGAAGAGGACGACCUUCCCCCCCCCGAGGAGGACCGGUCUUCGGUCAAGGGUAUACGAGUAGCUGCGCUCCCCUGCUAGAACCUCCAAACAAGCUCUCAAAAUGAAAUGUACGAAUUACGUUUAAACCAUAACGCAAGGCUUCUGAAUUGGCCCUAAAAUCAUAGGUCAACUUGUCAAACUUG